ACGAAACACGAGGCUAAAGUGUCUUUACGCAAAGUUUUGCAGUUGUCCAGAGCACGAGCGCACCUGCUGAAGGAAGUAGUUCCACGUUCCUGCUGGGCGGAGCUGACUUCGUGCUCAUUGGAUGUGAAACUACUUCUCUUGUGAAAGCUGCAGUGGAGUGUGACUGUAUCGGAUGAAUAAUUUGUUCGUUUUUCUCUUCGGACCAAGAGGUUUUUAUGUUGUUCCUUGACACUAUCAAAGGCUCUGCUGUCACCCUGACAAAGCCUCUUCCUUUUCCUCCACUGGUCCUAAUUGUCCCUCAUCUCUUGGGACCCCCAGUGGGAAGAGGGGGAUGAGGGUGAGCGCUCGGGAACAGCCGUGUCUGAAUCAGCAUUCCUCCCUCCCUCCCUCCUGUUAGAGAUGAGUGGACUCUGCCCCGCUGAACCUCACGCUCGCUUGAUCUGCUCUUCACAGGAAUCACACGUUUCACCCUCUUCUUCAUCCUGAUUGCACUCCUCUUGCUGCUUUUCUCUCUCAUGCCUCAGUGACCCCGGGGGCCCCAGAGGGCCAAAGUCAAUCAAGGUAUCACGUCAAACUAAAGCUCACGGCUAAUUU